rnacentral:rRNA from 3 species
UGCAGUCGAGCGGACUGAUGGGAGCUUGCUCCCUGAGGUUAGCGGCGGACGGGUGAGUAACACGUGGGCAACCUGCCUGUAAGACUGGGAUAACUCCGGGAAACCGGGGCUAAUACCGGAUAACCCGUUCCACCUCAUGGUGGAGCGGUAAAAGAUGGCCUCUGGCUAUCACUUACAGAUGGGCCCGCGGCGCAUUAGCUAGUUGGUAAGGUAACGGCUUACCAAGGCGACGAUGCGUAGCCGACCUGAGAGGGUGAUCGGCCACACUGGGACUGAGACACGGCCCAGACUCCUACGGGAGGCAGCAGUAGGGAAUCUUCCGCAAUGGACGAAAGUCUGACGGAGCAACGCCGCGUGAGUGAUGAAGGUUUUCGGAUCGUAAAGCUCUGUUGUUAGGGAAGAACAAGUGCCGUUUGAAUAAGGCGGCACCUUGACGGUACCUAACCAGAAAGCCACGGCUAACUACGUGCCAGCAGCCGCGGUAAUACGUAGGUGGCAAGCGUUGUCCGGAAUUAUUGGGCGUAAAGCGCGCGCAGGCGGUCUCUUAAGUCUGAUGUGAAAGCCCACGGCUCAACCGUGGAGGGUCAUUGGAAACUGGGAGACUUGAGUACAGAAGAGGAGAGUGGAAUUCCACGUGUAGCGGUGAAAUGCGUAGAUAUG